GCUGGUUGUGGUGGCGCACACCUGUAAUCCCAGCUACUUGGGAGGCUGAGGCAGGAGAAUUGCUUGAUCCCAGGAGGCGGAGGUUGCAGUGAGCCAAGAUCAUGCCACUGCACUCCAGCCUGGGCAACAGAGUGAAACCCUGUCUCAA
rnacentral:SRP_RNA from 1 species